AUUGAACGCUGGCGGCAUGCCUUACACAUGCAAGUCGAACGGUAACAGGUCUUCGGAUGCUGACGAGUGGCGAACGGGUGAGUAAUACAUCGGAACGUGCCUAGUAGUGGGGGAUAACUACUCGAAAGAGUGGCUAAUACCGCAUGAGAUCUACGGAUGAAAGCAGGGGAUCGCAAGACCUUGUGCUACUAGCGCGGCCGAUGGCAGAUUAGGGAGUUGGUGGGAUAAAAGCUUACCAAGCCGACGAUCUGUAGCUGGUCUGAGAGGACGAUCAGCAACACUGGGACUGGGACACGGCCCAGACUCCUACGGGAGGCAGCAGUGGGGAAUUUUGGACAAUGGGCGAAAGCCUGAUCCAGCAAUGCCGCGUGCAGGAUGAAGGCCUUCGGGUUGUAAACUGCUUUUGUACGGAACGAAAAGCCCUGGGUUAAUACCCUGGGGUCAUGACGGUACCGUAAGAAUAAGCACCGGCUAACUACGUGCCAGCCGCCGCGGUAA
rnacentral:rRNA from 1 species